rnacentral:rRNA from 1 species
CCAGCAGCUGCGGUAAUUCCAGCUCCAAUAGCGUAUAUUUAAGUUGUUGCAGUUAAAAAGCUCGUAGUUGGAUUUCGGGUGGGUUGUAGCGGUCUGCCACUGGUAUGUACUGCUAUGGCUCACCUUUCUGCUGGGGACGGGCUCCUGGGCUUAACUGUCUGGGACUCGGAAUCAGCGAAGUGACCUUGAGCAAAAGUGAGUGUUCAAAGCAAGCCUACGCUCUGAAACAUUUAGCAUGGAAUCACACGAUAGGACUCUGGCCUAUCUUGUUGGUCUGUAGGACCGGAGUAAUGAUUAAGAGGGACAGUCGGGGGCAUUCGUAUUUCAUUGUCAGAGGUGAAAUUCUUGGA